UACAGAGGGGGCAAGGCGUUGUUCGGAAUUACUGGGCGUAAAGGGCGCGUAGGCGGCCUGCUAAGUCGAACGUGAAAUCCCUGGGCUCCAACCCAGGAACUGCGUCCGAUACUGGUUGGCUUGAAUCCGGGAGAGGGAUGUGGAAUUCCAGGUGUAGCGGUGAAAUGCGUAGAUAUCUGGAGGAACACCGGUGGCGAAGGCGACAUCCUGGACCGGUAUUGACGCUGAGGCGCGAAAGCCAGGGGAGCAAAGCGGG
rnacentral:rRNA from 1 species